GGUGAGAUGGCCGAGCGGUCUAAGGCGCCAGACUAAGGAUCAGAGCAUUUCUUGCUCAUCGCUGACUUUAUUCAAGUUAUCUGGUCCUCCGGGGCGUGGGUUCGAAUCCCACUCUCAUCA